rnacentral:tRNA from 1 species
GCCCCCUUGGCGGAACAGGUAGACGCAAGGGACUUAAAAUCCCUCGACCUCGGUCGUGCCGGUUCGAGUCCGGCAGGGGGCACCA